UAGGGAAUCUUGCACAAUGGGCGAAAGCCUGAUGCAGCGAUGCCGCGUGAGGGAUGAAGGCCUUCGGGUCGUAAACCUCUUUCAGUAGGGAAGAAGCCACGGGUUCACCGUGGUGACGGUACCUGCAGAAGAAGCCCCGGCUAACUACGUGCCAGCAGCCGCGGUAAAACGUAGGGGGCAAGCGUUGCCCGGAUUCACUGGGCGUAAAGCGCGUGUAGGCGGUUCGUUAAGUCGGGUGUGAAAUCCCAGGGCUCAACCCUGGAAUUGCAUCCGAUACUGGCGGACUUGAGGACGGUAGAGGUCGGUGGAAUCCCCGGUGUACCGGUGAAAUGGGCAGAUAUCGGGGGGAACACCAGUGGCGAAGGCGGCCGACUGGGCCGAUCCUGACGCUGAGACGCGAAAGCCAGGGGAGCGAACCGG
rnacentral:rRNA from 1 species